CGGCAAUGGAGAAUUCUUACAGGUGUUCGUUUGGAUUGUUACCGCUGAUUGGAACAUGCAUGAACGAUAUGGAGCAUACGACGGCUGCAGAUGGUGCCAAUGAAACUGUCAAAUUCUAAUGGAAUCUAUGUCAUCGAUAUCAGAAAAGGAAUAUGCACUCUACGUACACCGAAUACCUAUAUAUACAGACAUAUACAUAUGGCAUAUGUCACAGUGCACGUGGUGCAGUAGCGAAUAAAGAUUUUUCAUGUCGGAGUCGAAGCUGUCGUCUAGGAAAAUCCUUUCACGCAAAUAUUUUUGUGGGCCCUUCCUCCGUGGGAAGAUGAUCAAAGUGGUCUCUGAAUUUUUCGAAGUGACUGGAUUUUUAUAAAUUGAUGGUUCUCUGAUGGGCUUUCAAUCAUUGGAAUACUUUUGGGAUAGCAAAAUCUGUCAUCCAAAGACGAUGACGGUUAUCAGGAAUUCCGAUUUGGCGCCAACGCAAGAUUGCGCAAUGCACUUCAGUAAGGAACGAAUCAGACGCUUCGUAUAAAUAGAACGAGAGUCUGUUCGAAUUGAUGGGUAUGUAUGUAGAAAUUAGAGUGAGCCAAUGAAUUUAUGCGAAAUACGUCGAUUUAGAAUGAUUCAAUGCACAGUAAUGGGGUUCCUGAAUUUCCAUGAUGUCGGAUAAUCAAGAGCUAUCUUCGAUUCGAUCUAUGUUAAAUCACUGAGACCACGAAAGCUCAGGGGUCUGAAAUGACCAAGGCAUGCACUAUACGUCUAGUAUGUAAAUUUCUCCAAUUGUUGGAAUAACAAAAUAGUCUAAGUAGGUCAUUUGUGAUAUACGAUUUUAGAACAUUAGCGUAUUCUUCGAAGUCAUAUUCUUCGUUUGAAUUUAAUGACGAAACCAACAAUGUUUUUUCCUGAUCCAU